GAGUUUGAUCAUGGCUCAGGACGAACGCUGGCGGUGUGCCUAAUACAUGCAAGUCGAACGCGUUGGCCCAACUGAUUGAACGUGCUUGCACGGACUUGACGUUGGUUUACCAGCGAGUGGCGGACGGGUGAGUAACACGUAGGUAACCUGCCCCAAAGCGGGGGAUAACAUUUGGAAACAGAUGCUAAUACCGCAUAACAAUUUGAAUCGCAUGAUUCAAAUUUAAAAGAUGGCUUCGGCUAUCACUUUGGGAUGGACCUGCGGCGCAUUAGCUUGUUGGUAGGGUAACGGCCUACCAAGGCUGUGAUGCGUAGCCGAGUUGAGAGACUGAUCGGCCACAAUGGAACUGAGACACGGUCCAUACUCCUACGGGAGGCAGCAGUAGGGAAUCUUCCACAAUGGGCGCAAGCCUGAUGGAGCAACACCGCGUGAGUGAAGAAGGGUUUCGGCUCGUAAAGCUCUGUUGUUAGAGAAGAACGUGCGUGAGAGCAACUGUUCACGCAGUGACGGUAUCUAACCAGAAAGUCACGGCUAACUACGUGCCAGCAGCCGCGGUAAUACGUAGGUGGCAAGCGUUAUCCGGAUUUAUUGGGCGUAAAGCGAGCGCA
rnacentral:rRNA from 1 species